AUUACAUUCAAUUUCAGGCAGUCAAGACACCCCUGAAAAUAAUUUCAACAGUCCUAUGAAGGAAGCUGAAAUAGGCUUCUAAUUAUAAAUUCCAAGCCAUCUUCUCUUAUACCAGUGUUUCCUCUCAGGGGAUAAACCUAGCCUUCUAUGAACCAAGCAGCAUCUAAGUAAGGAUGUGGCCAAGCUGAUGACAUAUGACUCAAGAAUUAAGGACCAGCUCUUUGUAAAACUUUCCCUAACUAGAAGUUCACAGGCUGUUAGUGUAAGUUCAUCAAUGGUAAAGCAAGCCCUUAGCAUAAAAGUGAAGAGGCACAGCAAGCAUUCUCCUUCUUGGAUCAGAACAUGGAAGACAGGGAAAGAAUGAAGAACUAUAUACAGAUUUGAAAGAGACUAAAGAGACACGAGACCUAAAUACACUGAGUUCCUG